AGGACAGUAUCCGUUUGUGAACUGUACCUCUUCUUAAUUUACCAUAAACUACAAAAAAUCUGCCUUGAUCUUGAACGAAGACAGGGACGGAAGA
rfam:Caryophanon tenue strain DSM 14152 DSM_14152_R1_001_contig_9, whole genome shotgun sequence.